rnacentral:tRNA from 1 species
CAUUAGAUGGCCGAAAACCAAGCAAUGGUCUCUUAAACCAUAAUAUAGUAUAAAUAAAUACUUCUAAUGA